AAGUAUUGAUUUGGGGUUACAGAUAAAUUUUAGUGAGUAGGUAAAUUCACAAAUACAGAAUCUAUAACGAUUGACUGAAUCUUUU